rnacentral:lncRNA from 1 species
UCUCGAACAGUUCUUGUUAAAAGACUCCUGUAUGCCCACCGCUCUCUUUUUAUGAUUGUAUUGUAUGCAAUGGGUUUCCUUCUGACCAACCUUCAUUAUGCUAGAUUUUCCCUAGCAAAUGGUAUAGGGGGUCUUCUUUAUCUCGGAAGGUCUUUAACAUCGUUUAGUGCCUUAUUUUUAUUCUCAAAACGACUUAUAGUGGAAUGGUGAUGACCAAAAAUACGUGCAGUUGUUUCAGCGACAUCCCUGCUUCUCUCAUGCUGAUAAUCUGCCAUCUUGCUGCAGUUUAGAGUUGUCGAGGACCCAUUACAAGGUGUCAAUCACAUAACUUUAAAAACUUGGUUAUUUAAAGUGUUGAAAACAAUGAGGAUGAAAACAUCUGUUUUGCUGUUUACGGGUACAGUAGCUGCAUGUGCAGAUAAAAACUUAUCGAGUCGAUUUUUAUUGAUUAAACUCAGGUGAUACUUAAAUAAU